rnacentral:rRNA from 1 species
UACGGAGGGUGCAAGCGUUAUCCGGAUUCACUGGGUUUAAAGGGUGCGUAGGUGGGUUGGUAAGUCAGUGGUGAAAUCUCCGAGCUUAACUUGGAAACUGCCAUUGAUACUAUCAGUCUUGAAUAUUGUGGAGGUUAGCGGAAUAUGUCAUGUAGCGGUGAAAUGCUUAGAUAUGACAUAGAACACCAAUUGCGAAGGCAGCUGGCUACGCAUAUAUUGACACUGAGGCACGAAGCGUGGGGAUCAAACAGG